rnacentral:misc_RNA from 1 species
GCAAACUUGGUCAUUUAGAGGAAGUAAAAGUCGUAACAAGGUUUCCGUAGGUGAACCUGCGGAAGGAUCAUUAGAGAGAACUAAGCUCAUUAUGAGCGACUCUCCACCCCAUGUUUACAUGACCCUGUUGCUUUGGCGGACCGUAGGACGUGAGUCCUCCACUGGCUUCUGCUGGUGUGUGUCCGUCAGAGGAAAUCCACACUCUGUUCAUUAGUGUUGUCUGAGUAAUAAACAAUCAUAUAAAACUUUCAACAACGGAUCUCUUGGUUCUGGCAUCGAUGAAGAACGCAGC